GGUUGGUGGUUGAGUGGUCUAAACUGUUGGUUUUCAACCAUUAGGACCUGGGAUCAAAUCUUGCAUUGAGCA